rnacentral:rRNA from 1 species
AUUGAACGCUGGCGGCAGGCCUAACACAUGCAAGUCGAGCGGAGGAAGGGAGCUUGCUCCUGGAUUCAGCGGCGGACGGGUGAGUAAUGCCUAGGAAUCUGCCUGGUAGUGGGGGAUAACGUCCGGAAACGGGCGCUAAUACCGCAUACGUCCUGAGGGAGAAAGUGGGGGAUCUUCGGACCUCACGCUAUCAGAUGAGCCUAGGUCGGAUUAGCUAGUUGGUGGGGUAAAGGCCUACCAAGGCGACGAUCCGUAACUGGUCUGAGAGGAUGAUCAGUCACACUGGAACUGAGACACGGUCCAGACUCCUACGGGAGGCAGCAGUGGGGAAUAUUGGACAAUGGGCGAAAGCCUGAUCCAGCCAUGCCGCGUGUGUGAAGAAGGUCUUCGGAUUGUAAAGCACUUUAAGUUGGGAGGAAGGGCAGUAAGUUAAUACCUUGCUGUUUUGACGUUACCAACAGAAUAAGCACCGGCUAACUUCGUG